UACGUAGGGAGCAAGCGUUGUCCGGAAUCAUUGGGCGUAAAGCGCGCGUAGGCGGCCCUGUAAGUCCGUUGUGAAAGUCAAAGGCUCAACCUUUGAAAGCCGAUGGAUACUGCAGGGCUAGAGUCCGGAAGAGGCGAGUGGAAUUCCUGGUGUAGCGGUGGAAUGCGCAGAUAUCAGGAGGAACACCAAUAGCGAAGGCAGCUCGCUGGGACGGUACUGACACUAAGGCGCGAAAAACGUGGGGAGCGAACAGG
rnacentral:rRNA from 1 species